UUACCGUACGCAAUUUUCUUACAGAAGCUAGAUUCUAACUUUCGUAAUUUUCUACCGCCAAUCGCCCUCAACUGCGGCAAACGAAGCCAAAAACAAUCUUUUUCUUAGUAUCUUCGCACCGACUCGUCGGAUCGCCGAACUGAGUUCACCAACGCGCUCGACUACCUAGCAAAUAGGUAUUAAAGAGAUCAAUCCCAACUUUAGAUCUCUAUUUUUCAAAACCCUCUUUCGGAACCCUAGAUGUUCAAUCUUGCGAAAAUCGACCAUAAAACCCCUCGAUUCAAGCAAUAAACAUCUAUCUAGUAUCC
rnacentral:lncRNA from 1 species